CCCCUUUUAGUCUGAAAAUUGAUAUCUCUUGUUCAUAUCAGACGAGUGUUUCGCCUUGAGAACGGAAAAAAAAAUACAAAAGCCAUGCUGCUCAAACUGGAAUAUAACGAUGACUAUUACGUGCACGCGUAUGUGGAUCUAGGAUUCCUGUACUGGAAUGCCAAAGAUAUCUUGACUCUCUUGCCUACGAACGUCUCGCAUACGACGAGUGUUCUCCAAGUCUUUUUCCUAAUCGACACCAUUUUCUUCGACUAGGCGAUUUGGACAACUACUCCAAAGAAUGGGGUCAACCGAACCAGAUUGUCCUCACUUCGAAUGAAGCGGCCUUCGUCGCUUCGAAAUCCCUGCAUAACAAGUCGCUCUUCCCUUGGA